AUGUUUUUUUUCGAUAUUAGAAAAAUAAUUCUGUAAAUCACAAUUAGUUAUAAUUAAUAAUUACUUAAAUCAAUUCAAUUAAAUAUACUUUUAAAUAUUUUUAGUUUUACAUAUAAAUAGGUAUAUAGUAUAGGUAGCUGUUAUAAACUAUAGCAAGCUAUUAGUAAUAUAACGUUGAUCAGUAAAUUACAUAUUAUAAAAUAAAAUAGUUUUUGUCAGUUUUUGUCUUUUGCUUGCCGUUUUUACAAUUGACGAUGUCAGUAUUUUACUGUAGGCAUGUAGUCGUAUCUUGAGUAUGUAUGAUCAUGGGCACUUGGAGUAUCUAGAAUAGCUCGAAUACAAGAUUCACACUUCAAAUUCUGUAAGAGUGUUUUUACUACAUAUCCACUGAUGUAAUACAAAACAUUUUCAGUGAUCAAACUAAGAAAUUUCCAUUUAAUCGCAAAAAGUGAAUCUUCAACUGGUGACAACAAUGCACAAUUUCCAGAGCUCAUUUUUAUAGAAUUAUGCAAUAAGAUACUUUUUAGAGCAUUUUUAAACUCCAAACAAUUUGGGUUAUUAUUAUGCCCAAAUUUGCCCCGCAUAAAACUGAAGAAUAUUUCUAUGGCGUCUUGACUGAAUUUGUAAGUAUUGAAUAUUGUGAAUAUAAAUUGGUUGUUUCAAUCCUUUUGCAAAUGGAUUUCUAGAGUUCAAAAAAUCAAAUAUUUCAUCAAUAAUACGAAUAAAUUUAAUUGUUGCUUCACACUUCUCAAAUUCUAUUGAAGUUUGAGUGAGAUAUGCAAGAGCGUCUGCAACGGAACUGCUUAAUAAUUGUACAGCAAGUUUGACCUUCAUUGAAUUUCCUUUCCAAUUUAUAUGAGCUGAACUUAUUUUGUUUCCUAAUUUAAAUCCUAUUUCAUUUUGUAAUUUAAAUAGUUUAUCAAUAUAUCUCCACUCUAUUAAAUUACUAUUUUCAUCUUUAAAAGCUCCAAAAGUCCCUAAUGCAUUUCUGGCUAACUUAACA